rnacentral:lncRNA from 1 species
GAGGAGGAGGAGGAGGAGGAAUUGUUUAAAGGAAUCUACCCCAAGGAGGUGUGUUUGAGUGAAGAAGGAAGAAACUGAUGACACCCAGCAAGCCUCUGAGAGCAGAAAGCCCCAAUGAGCACAAAGGACCAGAGUCAGGAGAGGAGAAGCCAGAGUGCCAGUGUGGCUGGAGCAGUGCAGGAUGGGCAAUCCAUGAGGGCAUACCCCAGCAGGCUGGCCAGCAAAGAAGCAGUGAGCUCUGGACUGACGUGAACACCCAAAGCAAGAGGAGCUUUGGUCUCAGCAUCCGCCCCAUGGCCUUCAUCCCACAGGAGGACCCAAAAUUGAGAGGGAUAAGGGCACUUGUGCUAAGGAGUCACCUGCAUGGUGCAGUUGUCCCUGGGGAUCCGUGGAAAGACCCACACCUCAUCAUAGUAAGGGAGGAUGUAGAACUGCCUGUGCCAGCCUCCUGGAAGGAGGCAGGUGAGACAGUGGGCCUCAUGUGGCUCUCUCGACAGCCUGCCUUCCCCAGCUCUGCCCAGGCCUAGGUGGAUUGGGUUUGCCUUGCCUCUGGGUCCAGGCAAGGCUGCCAGGAUGCCAGCUCAGGCUCACCUCUGGGAGGCAGGCUUUGAAGCCCAGAGCCAAGAGCGGUUCUUGGCACCAAACUGUGGUUUGAAUGUGUCCUUCAAAAGUGCAUGUGUUGGGGCUGGGGAUGUGGCUCAAGUGGUAGCGCGCUCGCCUAGCAUGCGUGCGGCCCGGGUUCGAUCCUGAGCACCACAUACCAACA